rnacentral:rRNA from 1 species
AGAGUUUGAUCCUGGCUCAGAUUGAACGCUGGCGGCAUGCCUUACACAUGCAAGUCGAACGGCAGCGCGGGGCAACCUGGCGGCGAGUGGCGAACGGGUGAGUAAUAUAUCGGAACGUACCCUGGAGUGGGGGAUAACGUAGCGAAAGUUACGCUAAUACCGCAUACGAUCUAAGGAUGAAAGUGGGGGAUCGCAAGACCUCAUGCUCCUGGAGCGGCCGAUAUCUGAUUAGCUAGUUGGUGGGGUAAAGGCCUACCAAGGCAUCGAUCAGUAGCUGGUCUGAGAGGACGACCAGCCACACUGGAACUGAGACACGGUCCAGACUCCUACGGGAGGCAGCAGUGGGGAAUUUUGGACAAUGGGCGCAAGCCUGAUCCAGCAAUGCCGCGUGAGUGAAGAAGGCCUUCGGGUUGUAAAGCUCUUUUGUCAGGGAAGAAACGGUGUGGGCUAAUAUCCUGCACUAAUGACGGUACCUGAAGAAUAAGCACCGGCUAACUACGUGCCAGCAGCCGCGGUAAUACGUAGGGUGCAAGCGUUAAUCGGAAUUACUGGGCGUAAAGCGUGCGCAGGCGGUUUUGUAAGUCUGUCGUGAAAUCCCCGGGCUCAACCUGGGAAUUGCGAUGGAGACUGCAAGGCUAGAAUCUGGCAGAGGGGGGUAGAAUUCCACGUAGCAGUGAAAUGCGUAGAGAUGUGGAGGAACACCGAUGGCGAAGGCAGCCCCCUGGGUCAAGAUUGACGCUCAUGCACGAAAGCGUGGGGAGCAAACAGGAUUAGAUACCCUAGUAGUCC